rnacentral:rRNA from 1 species
GACGAACGCUGGCGGCGUGCUUAACACAUGCAAGUCGAACGGAGUGGCGAACGGGUGAGUAACACGUGGGUGAUCUGCCUUGCACUUCGGGAUAAGCUUGGGAAACUGGGUCUAAUACCGGAUAGUGCAAGAUGAGCUCGCGGCCAAUCAGCUUGUUGGUGGGGUAAUGGCCUACCAAGGCGGCGACGGGUAGCCGGCCUGGGAGGGUGUACGGCGACAUGGGGACUUAGAGACGGACCAGACGCCGACGGGGGGCAGCGGUGGUGAAUAUUGCACAAUGGGCGGAAGCCUGAUGCAGCGACGCCGGGUGGGGGAUGUAGGCCUGCGGGUUGUAAACUCCUUUCGACAGGGACGCGGUACCUGUAUAAGAAGCACCGGCUAACUACGUGCCAGCAGCCGCGGUAAUUC